rnacentral:rRNA from 1 species
GAGUUUGAUCUUGGCUCAGAUUGAACGCUGGCGGCAGGCCUAACACAUGCAAGUCGAGCGGUAACAGGACUAGCUUGCUAGUUGCUGACGAGCGGCGGACGGGUGCGUAACACGUAGGAAUCUGCCCGGUAGUGGGGGAUAGCCCGGAGAAAUCCGGAUUAAUACCGCAUACGCCCUAAGGGGGAAAGAUGGCCUCUUCUCGAAGCUAUCACUAUCGGAUGAGCCUGCGUCGGAUUAGCUAGUUGGUGAGGUAAAGGCUCACCAAGGCGACGAUCCGUAGCUGGUCUGAGAGGAUGAUCAGCCACACUGGGACUGAGACACGGCCCAGACUCCUACGGGAGGCAGCAGUGGGGAAUAUUGCACAAUGGGCGCAAGCCUGAUGCAGCCAUGCCGCGUGUGUGAGAAGGCUCUAGGGUUGUAAAGCACUUUCUAGCGAGGA